rnacentral:rRNA from 1 species
GAUGAACGCUGGCGGCGUGCUUAACACAUGCAAGUCGAACGAGAAGUGAAGACGGAAACCUUCGGGCGGAAGGCUUUAUUUCGAGUGGCGGACGGGUGAGUAACGCGUGGGUAACCUGCCUCAUACAGGGGGAUAACAGUUGGAAACGACUGUUAAUACCGCAUAAGACCACAGCACCGCAUGGUGCGGGGGUAAAAACUCCGGUGGUAUGAGAUGGACCCGCGUUGGAUUAGCCAGUUGGCGGGGUAACGGCCCACCAAAGCGACGAUCGAUAGCCGAUCUGAGAGGAUGACCGGCCACAUUGGGACUGAGACACGGCCCAGACUCCUACGGGAGGCAGCAGUGGGGAAUAUUGCACAAUGGGGGAAAGCCUGAUGCAGCGACGCCGCGUGAGUGAAGAAGUCUUUCGGUAUGUAAAGCUCUAUCAGCAGGGAAGAAAAUGACGGUACCUGAGUAAGAAGCCCCGGCUAACUACGUG